AGCACAUGACGUCACACCCGCCAUGUUGGUGUUCAAUUCAAAAUAAUUUUAAUUAGGCUCUUGUCUGGAACACCAACAUAGCUUUUGUUGAAACGCCAGCCUCGUACCCAGGCGCUUUGUCGUGCUACACCGUCGCGCGACACGCACGCGGGACGACACGCGUGGGAGAAAAUGGACUGAAUUCGCGGGGAAGCCUCACCACGAAAUCGAUAAAAUUAAUCCACGCAAAGGCCACGCAAGCCAUAGAACAACACACAGCGCCUGGGUACGAGGCUGUGCAAAGGCUGUAUACCAUAAUAUGUAACUGCAAGCAAAGAUAAUAUGUAACUGCAAAGCAAUUUAGAGCCGUAUCCACAACCAAAAGUUUAUUACUGCGCAAUAGGAGAAAUUUCUUUUCCAAAUAGUUGUACAGGGUGCAUGUCUAAAAAAAAAACGCUAUGGAAAUUCAAUAGGCUGUCGUGCAUCAUCAACUUUGCUAAACAAUUCAAUUUUUACAUAGAAGAACAGUUAUUUAACUUUUCAAUGAUACCUUUUUAUAUCGUAACAAUGCGAAAUGGCCACAUACUCGUUAAAUAAAAAUUGCCGGUGUCACAGGAAAUUCGCCCCCCCCCAGGAGAUUCGCCCCCCCCCCCUCUCAAAAGGGGGGCGAUAUUCCUAGGAUAUUCGCCCCCCCGGGGCGAAUCUCCUAGGAAUAUCGCCCCCCUUUAGGAAUUUC